AACGAACGCUGGCGGCGUGCCUAACACAUGCAAGUCGAACGAGAAAGGGGCUUCCGCUCCGCGUAAAGUUUCGCACGGGUCGGUAACACGUGGGUAACCUGCCUCUAAUAUUGGGAUAACUCGUCGAAAGAUGAGCUAAUACCGAAUAAGACCACAUUUCCCGCGGGAACAUUGGUCAAAGAUAGCCUCUGCUUGCAAGCUAUCACUUAGAGAUGGGCCUGCGGACCAUUAGGUAGGUGGUAGGGUAACGGGCUACCAAGGCAAAGUUGGUUAGCUGGUCUGAGAGGAGGGUGGGGCAAAAUGGGACUGGGAAAAGGGGCAGGAUCCUAAGGGGGGGAGGAGGGGGGGAUAUUGCGGAAUGGGGGGAAGGGUGACGGGGCAACGGCGGGUGAGUGAAGGAGGGCUUCGGGUCGGAAAGAUCCGUCGGGAGGAGAGAAUGCUACGGGGGUGAAAAGACGCGGGAGGUGACGGUACCUUAACAGGAAGCAACGGCUAACUACGUG
rnacentral:rRNA from 1 species